rnacentral:misc_RNA from 1 species
GAUGAAGAACGUAGCGAAGUGCGAUAAGUAAUGUGAAUUGCAGAAUUCCGUGAAUCAUCGAAUCUUUGAACGCAUAUUGCACUUUCUGGUAUUCCGGAAAGUAUGCCUGUUUGAGGGUCAGUUAAAUAAAAAUCGAUGUUGCUGCUACCCGUAGUGGUGUUUAAUGCAUCGGAAUUGAGUUGUCUUUACCUUUUUUGGUUAAAGUGACUUAAAAUUAUGUACGAUUUUGAACGUAUUUAAAUUGUUUACGUAUGUUCAUUAUAUCAAAUUUAUUAGGUGCGAUCAUCCUCAUGAUUUCGCGUCUAUAAUUUUCAUUAUUUGACCUCAAAUCAGGUAAGAAUACCCGCUGAACUUAAGCAUAUCAAUAAGCGGAGGA